GACUCAGUUAAGAGUGCCAAGAACCGCUGAGAAGAAACUCAUCAGGAAAUGUAUGAACCUCAUCUCUUCUGAUAACCAGGAAGGUAGAAAAGCUUGAAGAAUAAAUCUGACCUGAGCAACCAGCUGACAACAUAAUAAAAAUAUGGGAAGUGUAGAAGGUCCUGAAAUUCAGCCCAAAAGGUCCCCCUAUUUACCAGCUCCGGAGGAACUUUAAAAAAAAAAAGUACCUUGGAGGAGGAUUGAUGACAUCUAAACUGUAACACUAGGAAGCAAUCCUGAAAUCUAAAAAAAAAUUGUAAACCAAGUUUCAACCAAAAGGGGAAGGCUUCAGUGGAAGACUUACACUAAACUUUCCACCUGGAUUUUUUUUUUUGCAGCUCCAGUGUAGUUCCUAUUAAAAAAAGGACUGUGGUGUUAAGCUUGUUCUUAAAGUCCUAAGUAAGAAAAAGCUUUUAUUGUCUGUAAUAAUUGCUCUCUUCAUCCUGUCGCAACCACCUACGCAAUAUCUCCAAAAUUCGCCUGUUUCUGAGUGCUGAAACUACUAAACAGCUAAUCCACUCCCUAGUAAUUUACUGAUUUGACUACUGUAAUAACUACUAACUGGUCUUCCUCUCUCCCGCCUCUCCCCCCCCUUCAAUCCAUCCUAAAUGCCUCUUCUAGACUAAUCCACCUCUCCCGAUGCUCUGUAUCUGCUGCACCUCUCUGCAAGUCCCUUCACUGGCUCCCAAUUCACAGCAGAAUUAAAUUUAAAAUUCUCACCCUGACCUACAAAGCCCUUACCAAUGCAGCCCCCCCUACCAGGCCAAUAAUUUCAAGUGUAGACUCAGUGUUUACAAAUGUAUCGAUCUUCAUAGACAAAUUGCUGCAGGCAGAAGUUGUUAAAUGUAGUUCAUACAUCAAAGAUACAGGAGACUUCCUUAAAGGGACAGUCUACACCAGCAUUUUCAUUGUUUGAAAAGAUAGAUAAUCCCUUUAUUACCCAUUCCCUAGUUUUGCAUUACCAACACAGUUAUAUAAAUACACUUUUUACCUCUGUGAUUUCCUUGUAUGUAAGCCUCUGCAAACUGCCCUCUUAUUUCAGUUUUAUUGACAGACAUCCAUUUUAGCCAAUCAGAGCUUGCUCACUGGAACUCCACGUGCGUGAGCACAGUGUUAUGUAUAUGAUAAACGUGAACUAACACCCUCUAGUGGUGAAAAACUGUCAAAAUACCCUGAGAGAAGAGGCGGCCUUCAAGGUCUUAGAAAUUAGCAUAUGAACCUCCUAGGUUUAGCUUUCAACUAAGAAUACCAAGAGAACAAAGCAAAAUUGGUGAUAAAAGUAAAUUGGAAAAUUGUUUAAAAUUACAUUCUCUAUCUGAAUCAUGAAAGUUUAUUUUGGACUAGACUGUCCCUUUAAAAAAGCUAAAGAUUUGUUUCUACCAAAUUAAAAAUGUAUAAUGUAUACUUUGGAUGUCAAAAGCCUGUAUACAUGUAUAAAACAUGAAACAGGUAUAGGUAUCAUCAAUAGAGUUCUCAGAGAGGAUAAAAAAAAUUCAGAGCAGCAAUGUAUGUUUAUAGAGGAAUUGUUGAGACUUAUUUUAUAUUGGAAUUAUUUUCUUUUUCAAGAUGAUUGGUUUAUGAUUGGUUUAUACAAAUCAAAGGAACAGCUAUGGGGUUCAAUGUUGCCCCAUCAUACACCAACCUAUUUAUGAAUAUGGUAGAAGAAGAAAAAAACAAUAUAUGAGAAUCACCUGUUCAAACUACAUGGUGGCGCCUGGUGGCGCUUCAUAGAUGAUGUGUUUGGUGUAUGGUGAGGCACCAUGGACUCCUUAGAGAAGUUUGUAUCAGAAUUAAAUGUGGCAGUCAGAGGCCUGGAAAUUACAUUAAAUUACAGUGAGGAGUCAAUAAUGUUCCUGGAUACAAGGCUAUACAAAAAGGUGCUCAAUUGGAAUUUGACCUGUACACAAAAGAAACAGACAGAAAUACAUUGCUACAAUACAAUAGCUUCCAUCCAUGUAAUCUAGUAGAAUCACUCCCUAAAAGCCAACUCCUCAGAGUUAAUAGGAUAGUAACAGAACAACACAAUCUAACAAUUAGAUCACAAGAGAUGCAAAAGAAAUUCUUGGAUAGAGGGUAUCCAAAGGCAGUGUUAGAUAAAUGUAAUCAAAAACCUAGAAAGAAAUGCUUCAAAAAUAGAUAAAAAGAAAAGAAUGGUAUUUUCUUCACAAUAUAGUACAUAUGGCAGUCAAAUAGCCAAAAUAAUUAAACAUUGGCACAUCCUUAAACAAUGUACUAGCCAAGUAAAAGAAUUUCAAGAACGUCCAAUUAUUGCAUAUAAAUGGUAAAAAAUGUAAGGGAUCACUUCAUCAGAUCUGCUAUAGGUCAAAUUAAGCAAAAAGAACAAACAUUCUUAGGCAAGAAAAAUCGAGGUUGCUAUCCCUGCUUAGGGUGUAUGAGUUGUAGCUCUAUCAUUAAAGGGAAAUAAUUUCUACAUCCCAGGAGUGGACACAAAUGUGAAAUUAAAGAUUUAUUCACAUGCAAGACCACAUAUGCAGUCUAUUUAAUAAAAUGUCCAUGUUCCCUCAUCUAUAUUGGAGAGACUGUGAGAAAAGUCAGAGAUAGAAUGAGUCAAUACCGCUCCAAUAUUAGAUGUGGGGAUAAGGAUGCUCCAGUGGCACAGCACUUCUUAGAAAAGGGACACAACAUUAGCCAGUGAGGUGGCAAGUAAUUAAUUACGUGGGCCCUCAAAGGAAGGGAGGUGAUCGUGAAAAAUUACUAAAACAAAAAGAAAUGUAUUGGAUCCACAAAUUGGGGACGAUGGUCCCAAAUGGAUUAAAUAAGGAGUUUGACUUGUCAGUAUUUUGGUAACAGGUGCAUAGCCAAUAGAAAUCCAUAUUAAGAUAAGGUGAUAAAUAUACCCAGUCAGUUUAGUGGUAUUGCAUUUAGCUAAUGAUGUAGAACAUUUCGAAUAGAUGUAUGGUGUAAUCAAAUUGUUAAGUAUAAGGAAAAAGACAAAAAUUAAUUUUAAUUAUAUAGUACCAAAAUGAAACAGUAGAUGGCGCCAGAUGUGAAUAAUGAAUGGCGCAAAACAAAGUGUUUAAAAGGCAAUACAGUGUAUUAUAUGCAUAGCAUGAAUAAGGGAUAUUGAUGCCGAAUAUAUAUUUUUGUCAUGAAAUAAAGUAAUUAAGUUUAA